rnacentral:rRNA from 1 species
GAUGAACGCUGGCGGCGUGCCUAAUACAUGCAAGUCGAGCGGCAGCGAGGGGUGCUUGCACCCUGUCGGCGAGCGGCGGACGGCUGAGUAACGCGUGGGAACGUGCCCCAAAGUGAGGAAUAACUGCCCGAAAGGGUAGCUAAUACCGCAUAUUAUCUUCGGAUCAAAGGAUUUAUCCGCUUUGGGAGCGGCUCGCGUCGGAUUAGGUAGUUGGUGAGGUAAUGGCUCACCAAGCCGACGAUCCGUAGCUGGUCUGAGAGGAUGACCAGCCAGACUGGAACUGAGACACGGUCCAGACUCCUACGGGAGGCAGCAGUGAGGAAUCUUCCACAAUGGGCGAAAGCCUGAUGGAGCAACGCCGCGUGCAGGACGAAGGCCUUCGGGUUGUAAACUGCUUUUAUAAGUGAGGAAUAUGACGGUAACUUAUGAAUAAGGAUCGGCUAACUACGUG